ensembl:lncRNA
ACACAAUCUACCUUUCAGAUGUAUACAUUCAAAAGGACCAAGAGCGCAGGAAGAAAUGGAUGGCAAUGGUCAGCCGUCAAAACUUAAAGUGACAGGGGUCAGCAACAGUCAAAAACGAUGUAAUGUACACUUUGAACUAAUUCACUGCCACAAAAAGAGAAGGGAUGUUGAAGCUGAGGCCCGAUGCAGUACCAACAGUUUUCAUUCAUCGCCCUAAGCCGAAGAGGAGGAAACCCCCUUCUGUGAGGGUGCCUCCAGAACCAAGUGCAACGGACCACACAUAUUUCACCAAAUUAAACUUCGAGAUUGAGGGAGAAAUUGAGGUGGAUUUCAAGAGCGAUGAAAAGGACAUGACAGGAGACAGCGAGAGCAAUCAAGUGGGCCACUUUGCCAGGGGCAGGUGAUCCAGGGGCAGGUGAUCCAGGGGCAGCUGCUACAGGGGCAGCUGCUCCAGGGACCAGACUGCCAAGGACUGAUGGGGCGACUAUGGAGGACCUAAUAAGGCAACUAGAAAAGGAAAAAUUAAUGAGAAGGAGAGCAGAGAGGGCUCUUGUAAAACAAAAAAUAAUAAAUUUGGCACCAAGAAUGAGAAACAAUUCAGUCAACAAGAAGUUAAAACGAAAAAGCCAUACAGGUUAAAUUCACCACCCAUCAUAAUCAUCGCCCUUUCCAGGA